rnacentral:lncRNA from 1 species
AGUAAUAUGAUAAUCAAAGAAUUUUUAAAUGGUAUCAAGUCAACUGAGAUGUUUGUUAUUAAAAAAGACAUAAUUUAUUUUUUGUAAAGUAGACUGCAAAAGAGUAUAUUUGUCCUAAAGUGGUAAGUGUGUAAAAAGAAAGAUAGGUAGUCUCAUCAUCAUUAAUGUUGCUCCAUAAAAUCUCCUGAACUGCAUUUGAAUCAUCCUUCAGGGUCACUCAUUUCCCUUCCUUUCCUGCCUUCCUGCAGCCCUUAAAGAAAACAGCUCUAGUGUUAAGAGAAAAGGAUUUGUUUCUGUGUUGAAAGUAAGGAGAUGUGAAAGGAAAAUAUGCAAGAAAAAUAAAACAUUUCUGGUCCCUUUUGCACGAGGAGGACUCCAGGAGUGUUAAGAAUCCUGUGAGACCCACCACACCCAAGCUUUUGCUCCCUACUGCCCUGACUGCAGGGACUAAAGAAUUGGGAGUCCACCCAGCAAAGGUGCAGAAAACGUGAAAAUUUUAGCUGCCCUUUUCCUUCAGCACUGUCAACACCCUAUUUUGGAAGGUAGUUUUGAUUUACUUACUUCUGGAUGAACCUGAGUUUCUAAAAGCCUACCAAGAAUCUCAGAUCACUAAUGGAAGUAAUUGAAGGCUGACAUGGUCAACCAGAAGAUAGAGGGGAAAAAAAAAAAUUAGUAUCUAUAUAUGCAGUGUGUCUCUGAGAGAACCAAAUGAAGUGUUAGCAGGAAGAGAUAUAAUAAAGAAAAGAACUUAAAAUCAAAUGU